CUGCUGGAGUGACGUCACUGCAGGAGAGAACUGUCAGAGGAGGAAGCAUUUAGAGAAAAAACUCUAUGCUCUCAGGGUAGUGAGAGCAACAGAGGCACGGAGGAGAGCCACAAUGGAUAAACUAACGGGCCACGGGAGGAGCGCGCUUUGAUGUAUAAUCCGUAGAGAGAUACCAUCUCGUAUUCCAUUCACGAGAGACAAGUGAAAUAACGGUUAAGGGAUCUCACAACCUCGGAAAUAAACCACCAAUUCAACAUGGAUCGUUCCAAAACAGAUUCGGGGUUUGACCAUCGACAGCGCCUUUUAGAAACCGGCUGCCUCGGCGGCUGCCUCCGCGUGCUUCGAAGGCGGACUUGGGAUGAGAAGCGUUUAUCGUUUUCUGUACAGACACAUGUCCUCUCUUCAUAGGUAAAUAAUCGGAUUUCAUUUCCUCGGUAAAAACCUAUUCUAUAGGCUAGCCAUAUGCUUCUCAUCCUAUACCGGAACCCUAACUGCUGCCUUCCACGCGGAUGCGCAGCCCUCCAUUGGAUGGCAAAAGAACCAGGAAAAAUUUCCUCGCAUUGAAAAGUGGAACCCAUACGAUACUCUGGCACUAUGCUUCGAGAAGGAGUCGGUUGCUAUCUUUGGUUAUCUAGCUGUAUGAGUGUUACUUGGCCGUCAUAAAGCUAGCUAACCGAAAGUAGGAAUGUCAUCCAAACUGCGACUCGGACAGUAAUAAAUUGUGUCUGGAAGUAAAGACACAAAAUAACAUAAUUGAUAUGCAAUUACAGCCCAAUACCGCAGUGCCUUUCCGGUUGAUCCAGCGCCCUUGUCACUGCAGUGGCUGCCUGAGAGACACCCAGAAACUCUGCAGUAUGAACAACACAUGCUGUCUACUCAAUGGUAAUUGUGACUGCCAGCCAUUCACACCAGGUAUGGAUUGAGCGAGGGGAAAGUGGCACAGUCGUCACAAAAAAAGAGAAAGCAGGAGGGGAAGAAAAAGGCCGACCCCCUUGUCCCUCUUUCCUUAAAUCUCCAUCACCGGAAGCCUUUGGUGCCAUCUGUGCCCCCGGAGAAAAGGACAGGCGAGAUGCCUCCACCCUGUGCCAACGGGGACAAAGGAGCUGCCAGUUAGAGCGGCCCCCCUCGCAGGCAGCCAGAGGACUCUGUGUGACUGACUGGGGCUGAGCUAUGGAAGCCAUCUUGAUGGAGAGUCUUGCUGCUGCUCCUAAAAUGGCUGUGUUGGCAUGAGGUCCUGAUGGUGUUGACAACCUCCAGGGGAAGCCUCUUCCAUCCAGCCCUGUGCCCUGAGCCCUGAGCCCUGAGCCCUGAGCCCUGAGCCCUGAGCCCUGAGCCCUGAGCCCUGAGCCCUGAGCCCUGAGCCCUGAGCCCUGAGCCCUGAGCCCUGAGCCCUGACAGUCAGUCUAGAAGCACCAGUGGGAAGAGCAUGUCAGAAGCCAGGAUGUCACGCAAGGCCUUCCUCAUUGGCAUCUUCUCCAGUCAAACACUGAGAAAUUAGGGCACUGAAUAAUCCCCAGUAAAGUUAACAGACAAUGCUUGGAGAGAUUUACUGUAAAGACAAUGUUUGGAGAUAUUUUAAGACAUUGUUUGCAGAAGUUGCACACUGAUUAUCUGCAGAUAUAUUGCACUUGGGUAAUCAAUGUUCUCUUUGUCCCCGGCUGAGAGUGUAUAGUUUCAACAGAACUUUAACAUUACAGCAAAAUGUAAAACAAUGUGUGUAUGAUGUGAAAUCAAAAAGGGAUGUGAUCAACAUGUGUUCAUACCUUCAUUUAAGGACAGGUGUGUGUGUGCGUAUGUGCUUUGGUGCCUAUUGUACUCUGGAGUGUAUUGUGCUUCGGAGCAGCACUCUAGUGCCCUAAUGUGUGGUCUGUUUACAAGAGAAGCUCUCUGGAUGUCUAUCCUCUGUCAUGUGCAAUGAAUCACUUUAUGAUUAGACCUCACUACCCUAUGCAAAUACAUGUGAAUGACUCACCCUCUGGCUGUGUUGCAUGUUUAAUGUUUGACUGUCACAGAGAAAAGAAAGACAUUGUUUGGUGAAGAUUCCAUCCAUUUGCUGUAUAUGCAUCAAAAGCUGAAUUUUUCGUAUUACAAAUAUGAUCUGCAUGUGUUCAUAGUGAUCAGGGAAUGUUCAACAUAAAAUGUGUUGGAUACGGUAUUGAAGCAGUCAGAUUAAUAGCCGUCUCAUUCCCUUAUUAUUAUUAUUAUUAUUAUUAUUAUUAUUAUCAUUAUUCAGAGAGAUAGACUGUUUCAAACAUACGUGCAAUAAAGAAAGUGACACAUACUUGUACACAAACUUCAUACAAAACAUGUUUUUGUAAUUGAGUUCUGACUUGUCAUGACUUCUGUUGCUGUUUGAGUUGAAUGUGUAUACAGAAUAAAUAAUACAUCAGAUUUUU